UGGGGAAUAUUGCACAAUGGGGGAAACCCUGAUGCAGCGACGCCGCGUGAACGAAGCAGGUAUUCGUAUCGUAAAGUUCUGUCCUAUGGGAAGAUAAUGACAGUACCAUAGAAGAAAGCUCCGGCUAAAUACGUGCCAGCAGCCGCGGUAAUACGUAUGGAGCGAGCGUUGUCCGGAAUUAUUGGGCGUAAAGGGUACGCAGGCGGUUUAAUAAGUCGAAUGUUAAAGAUCGGGGCUCAACCCCGUAAAGCAUUGGAAACUGAUAAACUUGAGUAGUGGAGAGGAAAGUGGAAUUCCUAGUGUAGUGGUGAAAUACGUAGAUAUUAGGAGGAAUACCAGUAGCGAAGGCGACUUUCUGGACACAAACUGACGCUGAGGUACGAAAGCGUGGGGAGCAAACAGG
rnacentral:rRNA from 1 species